GACGAACGCUGGCGGCGUGCUUAAUACAUGCAAGUCGAGCGAGGUUACUGUUUUGGAUCCCUUCGGGGUGAAGAAGCUUUAACCUAGCGGCGGACGGGUGAGUAACGCGUGGGUAACCUACCCCAAAGUCCGGGAUAACAGCGGGAAACCGCUGCUAAUACCGGAUGCCUUUACCUUGGGGCAUCUUGAGGUAAAGAAAGGUAACGCUUUGGGAUGGGCCCGCGUCCCAUUAGCUAGUUGGUGAGGUAACGGCUCACCAAGGCGACGAUGGGUAGCCGGCCUGAGAGGGGUGGACGGCCACGACUGGGACUGAGACACGGCCCAGACUCCUACGGGAGGCAGCAGUAGGGAAUAUUGCGCAAUGGACGGAAGUCUGACGCAGCGACGCCGCGUGAGCGAUGAAGGUCUUCGGAUCGUAAAGCUCUGUCCUUGGGGAAGAAGGCGAAAGCUUGACGGUACCCAAGAAGAAAGCCCCGGCUAACUACGUG
rnacentral:rRNA from 1 species